GGAAUUUUAUGGAACCUUGUAUUCUGUUGAAUACCAGAAUUAUAUCAGCAAUCCCCAAGUCACCAAAUGGGCAUCAUCAUGACAGCAGAUGAGGAUAACUGUUACGUGGUGUUAUUUGAGCAUUUGUAAUUCAAGAAAACUAACUUCUUUAGGCUCAUACUUUAUUACUUGAGACAUGACAGCUUCAUUUAAGGUUCCUAUUUUAAAACAUGACCGUGAUCAUGGGCUACAUUCUCCAUACCAGCUUCAUAGCUCCAGUGAGAAAAUAAAUUCCUGCACCCAGGAGACGUGGAGUAAGAGAUACAGCUGCCCUUGACCAUAUUUCUUACUUCCGAGAAGAUUGUAGCAGUAAUUCAGGCCUCUCUGGAUGGUGACUAUAACCUAUAGCCUUGCCCAAUAUGACUCAGGAUUUGGUACUGGCUGUGCCUUUCAUGGGAUGCUUACUUAUCCUGGUCGAUGGCCUAAAGCCCAACCGUCCAGCUUAUAUCCAGGGUCUCAAGCCACCCAGGCUGGAGUGCAGUGGCACAAUUAUGGCUCACUGUAGCCUCACCUUCCUGGGAUCAAGCAAUCUUCUUUCUUCAGCCUCCAGAGGAGCUGGGACCACAGAUCCUUUGGCAUUUGAGAGUUGCUUUGUGUAUACGGUCCUUUAACGGAGCAAAUGGCCAGCCAGGAAACCAAAGUAUGGACAAGGGGAAAGAAGCGUCUGUGGAGGAAGUUUUACAAGCGCCCUCCUCAUCCAUUUGGGUGGUGUUGCCCAUAUGCUACAUGUCUGUGGACCACUAUGUGUGUUUAAAGCUUUUUAGUAAAACGUUACUAAAAACUAUGACUCACUGUGGUGAAAAAGGUGGCAAAACAGUGACAACACAACACGGAGAUGCAUUGACACCCUUCUUCAAUCCAGAGGAUGGGCCAUCAACUCACAAAAGUACAAGGCCUGGAACCAGCUGCAAAGUUCCUAUGGAUCACUUGGCCAGAUGAGCCUUCAGUUGAGACCUCAGCCUUGGACAUCAUCUGCACCUGGAUUCCUGACCCAGAGCAACUGCAUGCAUAUGUUAUCCCAGCUUCUGGGGAGGCUGACUUGGGAGGAUUGCUUGAGCCCAGGAGUUCCAAACUGAAGUGAGCCAUGAUUGUGUCACUGCACUCCAGCUUGGGAAACAGAGGGAGACCAAGACUCAAAAAAAAAAA
rnacentral:lncRNA from 1 species